CCCUCCGAAGUUUUUCUCAGGAUAGCUGGCACUCGGCCGUUCCACACGGAACGCGCGCGAGUCUCCUUUGGUAAAGCGAAUGAUUAGAGGUCUUGGGGCCGAAACGACCUCAAUCUAUUCUCAAACUUUAAAUGGAUGAGAUCUCUGGCUUUCUUGAAUUAUGAAGCCACAAGUAUCUCGGAUCAGAGUGCCAAGUGGGUCAUUUUUGGUAAGCAGAACUGGCGCUGUGGGAUGAACCAAACGCAGAGUUAAGGCGCCCAACUCGACGCUCAUUGGACACCAUGAAAGGCAUUGGUUGCUUAAGACAGCAGGACGAUGGCUAUGGAAGUCGGAAUCCGCUAAGGAGUGUGUAACAAUUCACCUGCCGAAGCAACUACCCUGAAAAUGGAUGGCGCUGAAGCGUCGAGCCUAUACUCUACCGUCAGCGGCAAGUGGGGCGGCGACGGGAGCGUUGCGCGCGUCGGACCGCGUUUGCGGCUCUCUCGCGAGGCAAUCGUCUCCCUCGAGUCGUCACGAAGCCCUGACGAGUAGGAGGG
rfam:Camponotus floridanus CamFlo_1.0_3.contig1329, whole genome shotgun sequence.